rnacentral:ncRNA from 1 species
AAAAAGGGAAUGAUGUUCUCCCUGAUUAUGUGAUAAUCAAACCGCCGCAAGGCUGAUGACUUCUACCUU